ACGUAGGUGGCAAGCGUUGUCCGGAUUUACUGGGCGUAAAGGGAGCGUAGGCGGAUAUUUAAGUCAGAUGUGAAAUACCCGAGCUUAACUUGGGUGCUGCAUUUGAAACUGGAUAUCUGGAGUGCAGGAGAGGAAAGUGGAAUUCCUAGUGUAGCGGUGAAAUGCGUAGAGAUUAGGAAGAACACCAGUGGCGAAGGCGACUUUCUGGACUGUAACUGACGCUGAGGCUCGAAAGCGUGGGGAGCAAACAG
rnacentral:rRNA from 1 species